rnacentral:sRNA from 2 species
UAUCUCUCCGUACGGGGAAGGAUGAGAAGCUUCGACUAAGGUUCGAUUCGAGCGCAGCGAGAAAGCGUUGCCGCAGGCAACGACCCGAAGGGCGAAGCGCGCAGCGCUGAGUCAUCCUUCCCCCACCA